rnacentral:misc_RNA from 1 species
GAUGAAGAACGCAGUGAAAUGCGAUAACUAGUGUGAAUUGCAGAAUUCCGUGAAUCAUCGAGUCUUUGAACGCACAUUGCGCCCCCUGGUAUUCCGGGGGGCAUGCCUGUCCGAGCGUCAUUGCUGCCCAUCAAGCACGGCUUGUGUGUUGGGUCGUCGUCCCCUCUCCGGGGGGGACGGGCCCCAAAGGCAGCGGCGGCACCGCGUCCGAUCCUCGAGCGUAUGGGGCUUUGUCACCCGCUCUGUAGGCCCGGCCGGCGCUUGCCGAACACAAAUCAAUCUUUUUCCAGGUUGACCUCGGAUCAGGUAGGGAUACCCGCUGAACUUAAGCAUAUCAAUAAGCGGAGGA